UGCAUGCCAUUCACUUUCAGCAACAUAUGUAAAGGCAAAGGACUACCUGAAAAAGUCCUUACUGUGUUUAACAUCAGACAUACAGUCAGAGGCUGAAGACCCUAUCAGAAGGAAAAAAAGGCCAAACUCACGCUACCUGCAGGAGCCAGCUGGAAGAGUCCAGACCACUACGGGCCCGCCGCAACACUUUUUUGAAGGUGUGGACACUGAUGACGAGGCACCACCCCCCCCAAGAAAAACAGCACGACAAUCUGUAGAUGUUGGGCCAGGUAGGUAAAAAUAUGUUGCAUGUGUUUACUGGUUAAUGCCAGUACAAAUGGUACUUUGAAGCACCAUUUGAAACAACACCAUGUUUAACACAUAUGUUAGAAAUACCAUUUGGCUCUCUUAUUCAGUUUUGAAGUGUUUCAUUUUUUUCAGACAUCAAUAGUGAGUGGCUAUUUGGGCCAUCGACCACCCAAAGAGCUCAAUCAAAUGGCAGCCAGAGACUUGAGCUACUACAUCUAGAUACAGUCCAACCAAGCCACCAGCUAUUGCAUGAUAUGGGAAUAUCUAAAGUCGUGGAGCUGCUUUCCAAAGUGCUGGAAGAAAAUAAAUUGAUGAAAGCGGAAAUUACCAACCUGGGGAGUGAAGUGAGGGCGCUUAGGAGAGAGAUGGUGAGGCCGGUAGCACCAGAAGCUGCCGCUUCGUCCAUCAAGCUGCCUCUGAGGACAAUGGAGGAGUUUCAAUUAGCAGAGGCUGUUAUGAGAGAAACCCCCUGCGAAAAACAAAAGAUGAUCUUAACAUUCAGUCUAAUUGGAGGGCACACUGCAGAAGAGGCCGUAAGAAGGAUGUUGCAGAGUGGCCUAACAAAUAACCUGGCGUGUCGCUUCAACUGGGCAGGGAAAGGCUUCAAGGAAGCCUUUAAAAGCACUGUCCUUAGUGAUGUACUGUUCGCUGCACUCCAAAAACAGCUGCCAGGGACCACCCAUAUUGUUUUUUCAGGGACACUGAAGAAGUGGCUUAAAUAUGCACCGGAGAGAGAGGGAGGUGGAGGGAGGCGAACAAAUGAACGCGAUCAGGCGCCGCAGGAUCCUCGACCAUGAAUGAAUGUGUGUGUGUAAAUAAUAAUUAUAUUCGUUAGAAUAAUAGGGUUAAUUGGGUUUGGGUUGUUCGUGUUCGGUUAUCACGUUGUAUUGUUCAUUAUUGUCGCCACCGUUGUUGUGUCAUGUUUGUUUGUUGGGUGCUCUAUGUGAGAGGAUUUUAAUAAAAGUAGUCUGCGUCGAGGGGUGUACGGUGCGCAGAACUACAGUUAAA